rnacentral:tRNA from 1 species
GCCCCGAUCGCAUAAUGGUAUUGCACGAGAUUGCUAAUCUCGACCGUUCGCGGUGCGCAGGUUCGAUUCCUGCUCGGGGCG